GUGGGGAAUUUUGGACAAUGGGCGCAAGCCUGAUCCAGCAAUGCCGCGUGCAGGAAGAAGGCCUUCGGGUUGUAAACUGCUUUUGUACGGAGCGAAAAGGCUCUCUCUAAUACAGGGGGCUCAUGACGGUACCGUAAGAAUAAGCACCGGCUAACUACGUGCCAGCAGCCGCGGUAAUACGUAGGGUGCAAGCGUUAAUCGGAAUUACUGGGCGUAAAGCGUGCGCAGGCGGUUUUGUAAGACAGGCGUGAAAUCCCCGGGCUCAACCUGGGAAUGGCGCUUGUGACUGCAAGGCUGGAGUGCGGCAGAGGGGGAUGGAAUUCCGCGUGUAGCAGUGAAAUGCGUAGAUAUGCGGAGGAACACCGAUGGCGAAGGCAAUCCCCUGGGCCUGCACUGACGCUCAUGCACGAAAGCGUGGGGAGCAAACAGGAUUAGAUACCCCGGGUAGUCC
rnacentral:rRNA from 1 species